rnacentral:rRNA from 1 species
AACGAACGCUGGCGGCAGGCCUAACACAUGCAAGUCGAGCGCCCCGCAAGGGGAGCGGCGGACGGGUGAGUAACGCGUGGGAACGUACCCUUUGCUACGGAAUAGCCUCGGGAAACUGGAGUAAUACCGUAUGUGUCCUUCGGGAGAAAGAUUUAUCGGCAAGGGAUCGGCCCGCGUUGGAUUAGGUAGUUGGUGGGGUAAUGGCCUACCAAGCCGACGAUCCAUAGCUGGUUUGAGAGGAUGAUCAGCCACACUGGGACUGAGACACGGCCCAGACUCCUACGGGAGGCAGCAGUGGGGAAUCUUAGACAAUGGGCGCAAGCCUGAUCUAGCCAUGCCGCGUGAGCGAUGAAGGCCUUAGGGUUGUAAAGCUCUUUCAGGGGGGAAGAUAAUGACUGUACCCCCAGAAGAAGCCCCGGCUAACUCCGUG